UACGAAGGGGGCUAGCGUUGCUCGGAAUCACUGGGCGUAAAGGGUGCGUAGGGGCGGUUACUUAGUCAGGGGUGAAAUCCUGGAGCUCAACUCCAGAACUGCCUUUGAUACUGGGGAUCUCGAGUCCGGGAGAGGUGAGUGGAACUGCGAGUGUAGAGGUGAAAUUCGUAGAUAUUCGCAAGAACACCAGUGGCGAAGGCGGCUCACUGGCCCGGUACUGACGCUGAGGUGCGAAAGCGUGAGGAGCAAACAGG
rnacentral:rRNA from 1 species